UACGUAGGGGGCAAGCGUUGUUCGGAAUUACUGGGCGUAAAGGGCGCGUAGGCGGCACGGCAAGUCAGGAGCGAAAGGCCUGGGCUCAACCGAGGAACUGCUUUUGAGACUGCCGAGCUAGAGUGCAGAAGGGGCAACUGGAAUUCCCAGUGUAGCGGUGAAAUGCGUAGAUAUUGGGAAGAACACCUGAGGCGAAGGCGGGUUGCUGGGCUGACACUGACGCUGAGGCGCGAAAGCCAGGGGAGCAAACGGG
rnacentral:rRNA from 1 species